rnacentral:tRNA from 1 species
UGGUUCAGUGGUAGAAUUCUCGCCUUUUGUGCGGGAGACCUGGGUUCGAUUCCCAG